GACGAACGCUGGCGGCGUGCUUAACACAUGCGAGUCGAGCGGAAAGGCCCUUCGGGGUACUCGAGCGGCGAACGGGUGAGUAACACGUGAGUAACCUGCCCCAGACUUUGGGAUAACCCUCGGAAACGGGGGCUAAUACCGGAUACGACACAGCUUCGCAUGGGGUCUGUGUGGAAAGUUUUUCGGUUUGGGAUGGGCUCGCGGCCUAUCAGCUUGUUGGUGGGGUGAUGGCCUACCAAGGCGACGACGGGUAGCCGGCCUGAGAGGGCGACCGGCCACACUGGGACUGAGACACGGCCCAGACUCCUACGGGAGGCAGCAGUGGGGAAUUUUGCACAAUGGGCGGAAGCCUGAUGCAGCGACGCCGCGUGAGGGAUGACGGCCUUCGGGUUGUAAACCUCUUUCAGCAGGGACGAAGCGUAAGUGACGGUACCUGCAGAAGAAGCGCCGGCCAACUACGUG
rnacentral:rRNA from 1 species